AAUGUUAAUGAUGAAAUUCUCACCACAAUAUGAUUUCCUGGUGAUUUUUUAAUUACAUGCACUACCAACUGAAACAUU